CGGGUACGUCUUUGGGAUUAUUAAGUGGCGAACGGGUUAGUAACGCGUGGGAACAUACACAACACAGGGGGAUAACCAUUGGAAACGAUGGCUAAUACCGCAUACGCCCUAUGGGGGAAAGAUUUAUCGGUGUUGGAUUGGCCCGCGUUAGAUUAGCUAGUUGGUGGGGUAAAGGCUCACCAAGGCGACGAUUUAUAGCUGGUUUGAGAGGAUGAUCAGCAACACUGGAACUGAGACACGGUCCAGACUCCUACGGGAGGCAGCAGUCGGGAAUAUUGCGCAAUGGGGGGAACCCUGACGCAGCCAUGCCGCGUGAGUGAAGAAGGCCUUAGGGUUGUAAAGCUCUUUCAGAUGUGAGGAUGAUGACGAUAGCAUCAGAAGAAGCUCCGGCUAACUUCGUGCCAGCAGCCGCGGUAAUACGAAGGGAGCUAGCGUUGUUCGGAAUUACUGGGCGUAAAGGGCGUGUAGGCGGAUUAUCAAGUUAGGGGUGAAAUCCCGGGGCUCAACCUCGGCACUGCCUUUAAGACUGAUAAUCUAGAGUAUGUGAGGGGAUAAUGGAAUACCUAGUGUAGAGGUGAAAUUCGUAGAUAUUAGGUGGAACACCAGUGGCGAAGGCGAUUAUCUGGCACAUAACUGACGCUGAGGCGCGA
rnacentral:rRNA from 1 species